CCCUUCGGGGGUACUCGAGUGGCGAACGGGUGAGUAACACGUGGGUGAUCUGCCCUGCACUUUGGGAUAAGCCUGGGAAACUGGGUCUAAUACCGAAUACACCCUUCUGAUCGCAUGGUCUGGGAGGGGAAAGCUUUUGCGGUGUGGGAUGGGCCCGCGGCCUAUCAGCUUGUUGGUGGGGUGAUGGCCUACCAAGGCAACGACGGGUAGCCGGCCUGAGAGGGUGACCGGCCACACUGGGACUGAGAUACCGCCCACACUCCUACGGGAGGCAGCAGUGGGGAAUAUUGCACAAUGGGCGCAAGCCUGAUGCACCGACCCCGCGUGGGGGAUGACGGCCUUCGGGUUGUAAACCUCUUUCAGCAUCAACGAAGCGCAAGUGACCGUAGAUGCAAAAGAACCACCGGCCAACUACGUGCCACCAGCCGCGGUAAUACGUAGGGAGCGAGCGUUGUCCGGAAUUACUGGGCGUAAAGAGCUCGUAGGUGGUUUGUCACGUUGUUCGUGAAAACUCACAGCUUAACUGUGGGCGUGCGGGCGAUACGGGCAGACUAGAGUACUGCAGGGGAGACUGGAAUUCCUGGUGUAGCGGUGGAAUGCGCAGAUAUCAGGAGGAACACCGGUGGCGAAGGCGGGUCUCUGGGCAGUAACUGACGCUGAGGAGCGAAAGCGUGGGGAGCGAACAGGAUUAGAUACCCUGGUAGUCCACGCCGUAAACGGUGGGUACUAGGUGUGGGUUUCCUUCCUUGGGAUCCGUGCCGUAGCUAACGCAUUAAGUACCCCGCCUGGGGAGUACGGCCGCAAGGCUAAAACUCAAAGGAAUUGACGGGGGCCCGCACAAGCGGCGGAGCAUGUGGAUUAAUUCGAUGCAACGCGAAGAACC
rnacentral:rRNA from 1 species